UCCCUGCAAUACUAAUGGUCACAUC
rnacentral:piRNA from 1 species